CCUAGUACGAGAGGACCGGGAUGGACGAACCUCUGGUGUACCAGUUGUCCUGCCAAGGGCACCGCUGGGUAGCUAUGUUCGGAUGUGAUAACCGCUGAAAGCAUCUAAGCGGGAAGCCAACUCCAAGAUUAACUCUCCCUGAAGGUCGCUUGAAGACUACAAGCUUGAUAGGUUGGAGGUGUAAGCGCAGUAAUGCGUUUAGCUGACCAAUACUAAUUGACCGUCUGACUUUCUA
rnacentral:rRNA from 1 species